rnacentral:rRNA from 1 species
UGCUGUGAACUCGAAGAGUAGGGCGGGACACGUGGUAUCCUGUCUGAAUAUGGGGGGACCAUCCUCCAAGGCUAAAUACUCCUGACUGACCGAUAGUGAACCAGUACCGUGAGGGAAAGGCGAAAAGAACCCCGGCGAGGGGAGUGAAAAAGAACCUGAAACCGUGUACGUACAAGCAGUGGGAGCCUCUUUAUGGGGUGACUGCGUACCUUUUGUAUAAUGGGUCAGCGACUUAUAUUCUGUAGCAAGGUUAACCGUAUAGGGGAGCCGAAGGGAAACCGAGUCUUAACUGGGCGUUAAGUUGCAGGGUAUAGACCCGAAACCCGGUGAUCUAGCCAUGGGCAGGUUGAAGGUUGGGUAACACUAACUGGAGGACCGAACCGACUAAUGUUGAAAAAUUAGCGGAUGACCUGUGGCUGGGGGUGAAAGGCCAAUCAAACCGGGAGAUAGCUGGUUCUCCCCGAAAGCUAUUUAGGUAGCGCCUCGUGAACUCAUCUUCGGGGGUAGAGCACUGUUUCGGCUAGGGGGCCAUCCCGGCUUACCAACCCGAUGCAAACUACGAAUACCGAAGAAUGUUAUCACGGGAGACACACGGCGGGUGCUAACGUCCGUCGUGAAGAGGGAAACAACCCAGACCGCCAGCUAAGGUCCCAAAGUCAUGGUUAAGUGGGAAACGAUGUGGGAAGGCACAGACAGCCAGGAUGUUGGCUUAGAAGCAGCCAUCAUUUAAAGAAAGCGUAAUAGCUCACUGGUCGAGUCGGCCUGCGCGGAAGAUGUAACGGGGCUAAACCAUGCACCGAAGCUGCGGCAGCGACGCUUAGGCGUUGUUGGGUAGGGGAGCGUUCUGUAAGCCGUUGAAGGUGUCCUGUGAGGGGUGCUGGAGGUAUCAGAAGUGCGAAUGCUGACAUAAGUAACGAUAAAGCGGGUGAAAAGCCCGCUCGCCGGAAGACCAAGGGUUCCUGUCCAACGUUAAUCGGGGCAGGGUGAGUCGACCCCUAAGGCGAGGCCGAAAGGCGUAGUCGAUGGGAAACAGGUUAAUAUUCCUGUACUUGGUGUUACUGCGAAGGGGGGACGGAGAAGGCUAUGUCAGCCGGGCGACGGUUGUCCCGGUUUAAGCAUGUAGGCGGAGGUUCCAGGUAAAUCCGGUACCUUGUUAACGCUGAGGUGUGAUGACGAGGCACUACGGUGCUGAAGUGAUAAAUGCCCUGCUUCCAGGAAAAGCCUCUAAGCAUCAGGUAACACGAAAUC